rnacentral:rRNA from 1 species
AUACGGAGGAUCCGAGCGUUAUCCGGAUUUAUUGGGUUUAAAGGGAGCGUAGGUGGACAGUUAAGUCAGUUGUGAAAGUUUGCGGCUCAACCGUAAAAUUGCAGUUGAUACUGGUUUCCUUGAGUACAGUAGAGGUGGGCGGAAUUCGUGGUGUAGCGGUGAAAUGCUUAGAUAUCACGAAGAACUCCGAUUGCGAAGGCAGCUCACUGGACUGCAACUGACACUGAUGCUCGAAAGUGUGGGUAUCAAACAGGAUUAGAUACCCUGGUAGUCCACACAGUAAACGAUGAAUACUCGCUGUUUGCGAUAUACAGUAAGCGGCCAAGCGAAAGCAUUAAGUAUUCCACCUGGGGAGUACGCCGGCAACGGUGAAACUCAAAGGAAUUGGCGGGG